CUAACCAGAAAGCCACGGCUAACUACGUGCCAGGCAGCCGCGGUAAUACGUAGGUGGCGAGCGUUAUCCGGAAUUAUUGGGCGUAAAGCGCGCGCAGGCGGUUUCUUAAGUCUGAUGUGAAAGCCCACGGGUCAACCGUGGAGGGUCAUUGGAAACUGGGGAACUUGAGUGCAGAAGAGAAAAGCGGAAUUCCACGUGUAGCGGGGAAAUGCGUAGAGAUGUGGAGGAACACCAGGGGCGAAGGCGGCUUUUUGGACUGUAACUGACGCUGAGGCGCGAAAGCGUGGGGAGGAAACAGGAUUAGAUACCCUGGGAGUCCACGCCGGUAAACGAUGAGUGCUAAAGGGUAAGAGGGGUUCC
rnacentral:rRNA from 2 species